rnacentral:lncRNA from 1 species
ACCACGGGACAGUGUUAGACAGCCAUGGGCAUUGGCAUGGCUGGAGAAGGUAACAGCAAGAGGACAAGCUUUGCGUGCCUGGUGAAAGGAAAUCCAGAGAGGAGAGAUAAUGAACUGCAGAUGAUGGUGCUGAGGGAUGUUUGCUACCUGCAGGAGGGAAGUGAUGCCCGGAGCUGAUACUGCCACGCACUGCACAGUGAGGAUGCAAACUGGCUCAGUUUUAAGAGAAGCUUCACCAAGAAGCUGUCAGCCAGCACAGAAGAUCAAGAAAAGGAGCAUGCUUACCACACCCUUGAGAAAAGAUGAAGUUGAAUAAACUCAUGCAUAGUUACCAAUACAUCAAGAAGAGGCAUAUGUCUUGGAGCUUUAUAAAAGAAAAGUACUACAACCCAGAUUAGCUAGUUCUUCAUUUACUUUCAGUUAGAGUUGGAAACCAAUUCAGACUAAACAUUUUAAUUGACGAAUACAGUGCCUUCAUGCCAGAAAUUGCCUGUAAACACUCCAUGACUUCUCCAGAAAUACUUACUAUUAGCUAAAUGUUUUCCACAAGUUAACAUCUGCCUGUGACUGGCUCAAGAGUUGUUCACCACAACUAUUUGCUCACGUAUCUGAGAUCAAAUAUUUGAGCUAUGGGACUAGUUAGCCAGUCAUAUGGUAUUGCAUGUCUUUUCAGCCACAUCUGAAUGCCUACAGGAGCAGCUUCAGCACAAUGCUUGUUGAAAAUACUGAAUUUACAUGUUUAUUCACCACUGCCUUGCAGCAAACGCUGUCAAAAAUAAAAGUUCCCUCCUGCAAUCGAUGACUUAAAUA